CUUCCCCCAGCCGGGCUCGGCGGCCCAGACGCGAGUGGCGCGAGUGGCGGGGCUGUUCCGUGCGGGCUUUCCUCCCCUCGCCCCCCACCGCCACGGCACCUCGAUUUCGCCCUCCAUCCGGCACUCCCGGUGCUUCCUAAGGCUCUCCUGGUUCUCUGAUACUUAUAUUCUGUGAGCAUUCUUUGAUGUACUGUCAGAAGAUACACAGCUGAUGGAAAAUGUUUCCUCUCUGCAAGAGAUUGGAGAGACCUCACUAUGACAGCAGUUGUAAGGAACACAAUCAUGUUCCUGACAAUUUUCUUCUCACAUGCUAAGUAAAUGUUAGGAGUGAUGAUUUUACCUGUUUAUUCAUGAGAGACACAGAGAGAGGCAAAGAGAGGCAGAAACACAGGC